rnacentral:rRNA from 1 species
GGUUAAGCGACUAAGCGUACACGGUGGAUGCCCUGGCAGUCAGAGGCGAUGAAGGACGUGCUAAUCUGCGAUAAGCGUCGGUAAGGUGAUAUGAACCGUUAUAACCGGCGAUUUCCGAAUGGGGAAACCCAGUGUGAUUCGUCACACUAUCAUUAACUGAAUCCAUAGGUUAAUGAGGCGAACCGGGGGAACUGAAACAUCUAAGUACCCCGAGGAAAAGAAAUCAACCGAGAUUCCCCCAGUAGCGGCGAGCGAACGGGGAGCAGCCCAGAGCCUGAAUCAGUGUGUGUGUUAGUGGAAGCGUCUGGAAAGGCGCGCGAUACAGGGUGACAGCCCCGUACACAAAAAUGCACAUGCUGUGAGCUCGAUGAGUAGGGCGGGACACGUGGUAUCCUGUCUGAAUAUGGGGGGACCAUCCUCCAAGGCUAAAUACUCCUGACUGACCGAUAGUGAACCAGUACCGUGAGGGAAAGGCGAAAAGAACCCCGGCGAGGGGAGUGAAAAAGAACCUGAAACCGUGUACGUACAAGCAGUGGGAGCACAGAGCAAUCUGUGUGACUGCGUACCUUUUGUAUAAUGGGUCAGCGACUUAUAUUCUGUAGCAAGGUUAACCGAAUAGGGGAGCCGAAGGGAAACCGAGUCUUAACUGGGCGUUAAGUUGCAGGGUAUAGACCCGAAACCCGGUGAUCUAGCCAUGGGCAGGUUGAAGGUUGGGUAACACUAACUGGAGGACCGAACCGACUAAUGUUGAAAAAUUAGCGGAUGACUUGUGGCUGGGGGUGAAAGGCCAAUCAAACCGGGAGAUAGCUGGUUCUCCCCGAAAGCUAUUUAGGUAGCGCCUCGUGAAUUCAUCUCCGGGGGUAGAGCACUGUUUCGGCAAGGGGGUCAUCCCGACUUACCAACCCGAUGCAAACUGCGAAUACCGGAGAAUGUUAUCACGGGAGACACACGGCGGGUGCUAACGUCCGUCGUGAAGAGGGAAACAACCCAGACCGCCAGCUAAGGUCCCAAAGUCAUGGUUAAGUGGGAAACGAUGUGGGAAGGCCCAGACAGCCAGGAUGUUGGCUUAGAAGCAGCCAUCAUUUAAAGAAAGCGUAAUAGCUCACUGGUCGAGUCGGCCUGCGCGGAAGAUGUAACGGGGCUAAACCAUGCACCGAAGCUGCGGCAGCGACGCUUAUGCGUUGUUGGGUAGGGGAGCGUUCUGUAAGCCUGCGAAGGUGUGCUGUGAGGCAUGCUGGAGGUAUCAGAAGUGCGAAUGCUGACAUAAGUAACGAUAAAGCGGGUGAAAAGCCCGCUCGCCGGAAGACCAAGGGUUCCUGUCCAACGUUAAUCGGGGCAGGGUGAGUCGACCCCUAAGGCGAGGCCGAAAGGCGUAGUCGAUGGGAAACAGGUUAAUAUUCCUGUACUUGGUGUUACUGCGAAGGGGGGACGGAGAAGGCUAUGUUGGCCGGGCGACGGUUGUCCCGGUUUAAGCGUGUAGGCUGGUUUUCCAGGCAAAUCCGGAAAAUCAAGGCUGAGGCGUGAUGACGAGGCACUACGGUGCUGAAGCAACAAAUGCCCUGCUUCCAGGAAAAGCCUCUAAGCAUCAGGUAACAUCAAAUCGUACCCCAAACCGACACAGGUGGUCAGGUAGAGAAUACCAAGGCGCUUGAGAGAACUCGGGUGAAGGAACUAGGCAAAAUGGUGCCGUAACUUCGGGAGAAGGCACGCUGAUAUGUAGGUGAAGUCCCUCGCGGAUGGAGCUGAAAUCAGUCGAAGAUACCAGCUGGCUGCAACUGUUUAUUAAAAACACAGCACUGUGCAAACACGAAAGUGGACGUAUACGGUGUGACGCCUGCCCGGUGCCGGAAGGUUAAUUGAUGGGGUUAGCGCAAGCGAAGCUCUUGAUCGAAGCCCCGGUAAACGGCGGCCGUAACUAUAACGGUCCUAAGGUAGCGAAAUUCCUUGUCGGGUAAGUUCCGACCUGCACGAAUGGCGUAAUGAUGGCCAGGCUGUCUCCACCCGAGACUCAGUGAAAUUGAACUCGCUGUGAAGAUGCAGUGUACCCGCGGCAAGACGGAAAGACCCCGUGAACCUUUACUAUAGCUUGACACUGAACAUUGAGCCUUGAUGUGUAGGAUAGGUGGGAGGCUUUGAAGUGUGG